rnacentral:rRNA from 1 species
AUUGAACGCUGGCGGCAUGCCUUACACAUGCCAGUCGAACGGUAACGGGCCUUCGGGUGCCGACGAGUGGCGAACGGGUGAGUAAUACAUCGGAACGUGCCCGAUCGUGGGGGAUAACGAGGCGAAAGCUUUGCUAAUACCGCAUACGAUCUACGGAUGAAAGCAGGGGACCGCAAGGCCUUGCGCGGACGGUGCGGCCGAUGGCAGAUUAGGUAGUUGGUGGGAUAAAAGCUUACCAAGCCGACGAUCUGUAGCUGGUCUGAGAGGAUGAUCAGCCACACUGGGACUGAGACACGGCCCAGACUCCUACGGGAGGCAGCAGUGGGGAAUUUUGGACAAUGGGCGCAAGCCUGAUCCAGCCAUGCCGCGUGCAGGAUGAAGGCCUUCGGGUUGUAAACUGCUUUUGUACGGAACGAAAAGCCUUCUUUUAAUACAGGAGGGUCAUGACGGUACCGUAAGAAUAAGCACCGGCUAACUACGUG